AGACUCAGAAGUGAAGUAUGAAGAAGUAAGAAUAAGAAAUACAGCAGCAGUCUAACGUGUUUGUAGAUCCUCUGCCCCUCCCAACAAUGGCUGUUACGUUAUUCCUUCUAUUAAACACACAGCUCAUCUCUGCUGCUACAUUUCCUGGUUCCUCUCAUUUCACAUCUGACAGCUUUAUGACUGGUAGGAUCACUGAGCUGAACAACUGCUGCUGAUCAAUCAGACAAAUUCAGAAUCACUGUUGAAUCAAGAUCAAGAACCGACAAGUUAACCUGCUGCAAAUCAGUGAGUAAAGAA